rnacentral:rRNA from 1 species
GACGAACGCUGGCGGCGUGGAUUAGGCAUGCAAGUCGGACGGUAGGGCUUUAUCGUAAGAUAGAGUUUGGGAGUGGCGAAUGGGUGAGUAACACGUAGGAAUCUACCCUUAAGACGGGAACAACCCAGGGAAACUUGGGCUAAUACCGGAUGAGAGUGCGAGAGAUUGCAUUUAAAAGGAUGGCGAAAGUUAUCGCUUAGGGAUGAGCCUGCGGUCUAUUAGUUAGUUGGUGGGGUAAGAGCUCACCAAGGCGAUGAUAGAUAGGCGGCCUUAACGGGUGGUCGCCCACACUGGGAUUGAGAUACGGCCCAGACUCCUACGGGAGGCAGCAGUCGAGAAUAGUCUACAAUGGCCGGAAGGCUGAUAGUGCGACGCCGCGUGAACGAGGGAGCCCUUCGGGUGUAAAGUUCUUUUCUAUACGAGCAGUGCUAUAUAUAUGGAUAGUAUAUAUAGAGGGAUAGUAGUAUAGGAAUAAGCAACGGCUAACUCCGUGCCAGCAGCCGAC